rnacentral:rRNA from 1 species
UACGGAGGAUCCAAGCGUUAUCCGGAAUCAUUGGGUUUAAAGGGUCCGUAGGCGGUUUAAUAAUGUCAGUGGUGAAAGCCCAUCGAUCUCAACGGUGGAACGGCCAUUGAUACUGUUAAACUUGAAUUAUUAGGAAGUAACUAGAAUAUGAUAGUGUAGCGGUGAAAUGCUUAGAGAAUUACAUGGAAUACCAAUUGCGAAGGCAGGUUACUACUAAUGGAUUGACGCUGAUGGACGAAAGCGUGGGUAGCGAACAGG